rnacentral:rRNA from 1 species
UACGUAGGGUGCGAGCGUUGUCCGGAAUUAUUGGGCGUAAAGGGCUCGUAGGCGGUUUGUCGCGUCGGGAGUGAAAACUCAGGGCUUAACCCUGAGCCUGCUUCCGAUACGGGCAGACUAGAGGUAUGCAGGGGAGAACGGAAUUCCUGGUGUAGCGGUGAAAUGCGAAGAUAUCAGGAGGAACACCGGUGGCGAAGGCGGUUCUCUGGGCAUUACCUGACGCUGAGGAGCGAAAGUGUGGGGAGCGAACAGG